UACGAGGGGGGGCAAGCGUUUGUCCGGAAUUAUUGGGCGUAAAGAGUUCGUAGGCGGUUGCCUAAGUCUGGUGUUAAAGACCGAAGCUCAACUUCGGCAUGGCAUUGGAAACUGGGUGGCUAGAGUACGGUAGAGGUAUCGGGAAUUCCAGGUGUAGCGGUGAAAUGCGUAGAUAUCUGGAGGAACACCGGUGGCGAAAGCGCGAUACUGGGCCGUAACUGACGCUGAGGAACGAAAGCCAGGGGAGCGAAAGGGAGU
rnacentral:rRNA from 1 species